GGAAGAGUUUGGAUGUGAACUAUACUGUUGUCUGGUUGCUGGGAACAGCUAUCACAUGAGGGCAUGCGUGUGUGUGUGUGUAUGUGUGUGUGUGUGUUCCACCUGUCCUCACUUGCUCUUCCUGAGGGAGCUGGUCCUGUGCCCGACUUUGAUUCAUUUCUAGUGAAAAACAACCUGACCUGAAGAUAAGAAUUCACUCUAGCAAGAUCAUCAGGUAUGAUAGUGUGGAACUCUCAGAGCUCAUGUUAACUGGUGACUUAUUGCAGUCAAGAGUUCUUAUGUGUGAGAAGGUGUGAGCUUUGGAAGGAAGCAGGCACCUCUGGAGAUGCUUCAUACAGACAGGGAUCCAGCUCAGGACAGUGGGAGCUCACAGAACUGUUGGCUGGGUUGCAGAAAUGGAGACCCAGAGGAGGUCAUUGUGUUAUUUUCAAGUCAUCCCACUGCAACUGAGAUCUGGACCCCAGGAAGUUGCUGGCCUGAUUCCAUUAUUACAAGGUCAUUUGGUAGCCAUGAAGCUGGAGACUGGCUAGAUUGGGGAAUCUGGUUGCUAAAGUGCUCCUUGAACAGCCACAUCUCUAAGCUACCAUAGUCAAGGCAUUAACCUGGGGAAAAACUAAUUUUCUUCUAGAAUCACACAUGUCAGGGUGUCUGAAAA